rnacentral:rRNA from 1 species
CGCCUGCCCUGUGACUAUAAGUUUAACGGCCGCGGUAUUUUGACCGUGCGAAGGUAGCGUAAUCACUUGUCUUUUAAAUGAAGACCCGUAUGAAUGGCACGACGAGGGCUUAACUGUCUCCUUCUCUUCGUCAAUGAAAUUGAUCUCCCCGUGCAGAAGCGGGGAUAUAAACAUAAGACGAGAAGACCCUAUGGAGCUUUAGACAAAAGGCAGAUUACGUUAAAACCCCUAAACUACCAGGGCUAAACACAGUACUCCCUCGCCAACAUGUCUUCGGUUGGGGCGACCGCGGGGGAAAACCAAGCCCCCAUGUGGACUGGAAAAACCUUUUCCACAGCCAAGAGUAACAACUCUAAGCAACAGAAUUUCUGACCAAAACGAUCCGGCAAACGCCGAUCAACGGACCAAGUUACCCUAGGGAUAACAGCGCAAUCCCCUCCCAGAGUCCCUAUCGACAAGGGGGUUUACGACCUCGAUGUUGGAUCAGGACAUCCUAAUGGUGCAACCGCUAUUAAGGGUUCGUUUGUUCAACGAUUAAAGUCCUACGUGAUCU